AUACGUAGGGGGCGAGCGUUGUCCGGAAUGAUUGGGCGUAAAGGGCGCGUAGGCGGCCCGGUAAGUCUGGAGUGAAAGUCCUGUUUUUAAGAUGGGAAUUGCUUUGGAUACUGUCGGGCUUGAGUGCAGGAGAGGUAAGUGGAAUUCCCAGUGUAGCGGUGAAAUGCGUAGAGAUUGGGAGGAACACCAGUGGCGAAGGCGGCUUGCUGGACGACAACUGACGCUGAGGCGCGAAAGCGUGGGGAGCAAACAGGAUUAGAUACCCUGGUAGUCCACGCCCUAAACGAUGAAUACUAGGUGUGGGGGGACUGACCCCCUCCGUGCCGGAGUAAACACAAUAAGUAUUCCACCUGGGGAGUACGACCGCAAGGUUGAAACUCAAAGGAAUUGGCGGGG
rnacentral:rRNA from 1 species